AUACGGAGGGGGCUAGCGUUGUUCGGAAUUACUGGGCGUAAAGCGCGCGUAGGCGGAUUGUUAAGUCGGGGGUGAAAUCCCGGGGCUCAACCCCGGAACUGCCUCCGAUACUGACAGUCUUGAGGUCGAGAGAGGUGAGUGGAAUUCCGAGUGUAGAGGUGAAAUUCGUAGAUAUUCGGAGGAACACCAGUGGCGAAGGCGGCUCACUGGCCCGGUACUGACGCUGAGGCGCGAAAGCGUGGGGAGCAAACAGGAUUAGAAACCCCAGUAGUCC
rnacentral:rRNA from 1 species